GCGAGGCCUCACCGGCUUUAGGCGUAGUAGAAUUUAUUCGAACGUCUGUCAAAGGAGAGGACUUCUGCCGACUGAAACCUUUUAUUUUUCUAGGUUGACCUCGGAUCAGGUAGGGAUACCCGCUGAACUUAAGCAUAUCAAUAAGCGGAGGAAAAGAAACCAACAGGGAUUGCCCUAGUAACGGCGAGUGAAGCGGCAACAGCUCAAAUUUGAAAGCUGGCCUUCGGGUCCGCAUUGUAAUUUGUAGAGGAUGCUUUGGGUGAAACGCCAGUCUAAGUUCCUUGGAACAGGACGUCAUAGAGGGUGAGAAUCCCGUAUGUGACUGGAAAUGUUAACCUAUGUAAAGCUCCUUCGACGAGUCGAGUUGUUUGGGAAUGCAGCUCUAAAUGGGAGGUAAAUUUCUUCUAAAGCUAAAUAUUGGCGAGAGACCGAUAGCGCACAAGUAGAGUGAUCGAAAGAUGAAAAGCACUUUGGAAAGAGAGUUAAAAAGCACGUGAAAUUGUUGAAAGGGAAGCGCUUGCAAUCAGACUUGUUUAAACUGUUCGGCCGGUCUUCUGACCGGUUUACUCAGUUUGGACAGGCCAGCAUCAGUUUCGGCGGCCGGAUAAAGGCUCUGGGAAUGUGGCCUUCACUUCGGUGAAGGUGUUAUAGCCCGGGGUGUAAUACGGCCAGCCGGGACUGAGGUCCGCGC
rnacentral:rRNA from 1 species